rnacentral:rRNA from 1 species
UACGUAGGGUGCAAGCGUUAAUCGGAAUUACUGGGCGUAAAGCGUGCGCAGGCGGUGAUGUAAGACAGGUGUGAAAUCCCCGGGCUUAACCUGGGAACUGCAUUUGUGACUGCAUCGCUGGAGUGUGGCAGAGGGGGAUGGAAUUCCGCGUGUAGCAGUGAAAUGCGUAGAUAUGCGGAGGAACACCGAUGGCGAAGGCAAUCCCCUGGGCCUGCACUGACGCUCAUGCACGAAAGCGUGGGAGCAAACAG